AGAAGUCACGUCAGAGUCUACUGCCCUCAUGCAAUGGAAAGUGAGUGAGAGCAGCGAGCCUGUGAGCAUUGUUCAUGCCAGGCAAGAGCCGUUCAUUUGGGAGCCAAGCAGAUACCACUGUCAGUGAGAAGUGUCUGUUUUGCUGAGGGUUCUGUUAACAGCCCAUCUGACUCCAGGAAAAGGUUGGAUCCAGGAGGAUGACUCCAGAUGUUUGCAGAGGAAUCGUCCAGGAGCCCUCGCCGGAGGAGAAUAUGCAGAUGUGGAUCUGAGAAGCUUGGACAUCCUUCUAAGGAGACAUGAAUAGUCCUCGGGUUUCUGCAUAACUGGCUGUUCCUCAUCUGUACUUGCUGUAGUUUUCUUCAUAGGCCGUGUGCUUCCUCCUUGGGUACGGGGCUCUGUGACUGGGGAGGGGCCAGAAUCUGCUCUGCGGAGUGACUAUGUUGGGUGCCAUUAAGAGGGCCAAUGUAGACAGGAGAAAAGGUGUACAGAUUGAACACUUUGAGUUGAACACUCAUCAGCGCGACGGUGUGUUUCUUGUGCACAAGAAAACAAAGGGUCAAAGUUGUGAUUGGUUGAGCGGUGUAAAUUAGGCAGGGCAAAAGGACUUGAGGAAGGAUGAGGUGGAAGUGAGGGUCUGAAAGGAGCUCCCCACCUCACCUGUUCAUUUCCAGAUGGUGUGACAUUUGCAUGGUUGGGCCAUUUCUUGGCUUUUUUGAGAAAAGGGGCGAAUUUUCCACGGCCUCCACCAUCCCCUUUCAGCUGCCCCUUCGCCACAUCAUGUUGCAUCUGACCUGGAUAGGUCGCUAGUAAGAUUUCACUUCAAAUCUCAAAAAAGUCCAGUAAAAAUAAUUGUGGGGGAAUUUCCUGUCACUAAGAGAAAUAGAAGCUCAAGCCUUCUCAAGGGGUGGGGUGUCGCUCAGCCACAGGCACAAAAAGGCUCCCCUAGUUUAAGCGUGCGAGGGAUAAGACCUUACACCUUGGUUACAGGGCAGUCAUUUUCCUGGCGUGUCAAAGUGACCUGUGGUUUAAUUUGCUUGGCAAAGGAGACCCAAACCUUCCUUACAGGGUGGUCUUUAAGCCAGGGGCGUUUGAAUGGGGCAGAGAGAGAAGCGCUGUAAAGGAGAGACCUCCGUUCCCUCAGGAGAGCGUGGUCUCAUUGCCCAGCGAGUGCCAGCGGCCCAAGAGGAGCUAGAAAGGGGAGACCUGCACCCUUCUCACAGAGAUUGGUCAGUGGCAAAGAGCGUUUUAAAAGCUAGGUCCUAAGGAGCUCAAAGCCACAGAGACCUUGUGGUGAUCUGAAUGCAGCCUGCAUUGUUAGAGAUAUAAGGGUAAAUGUUAGCUCGGGUCUUGUCUAUUGCUAUAGCUGUGAUUCAAAGAUCAAAAAAGCACUAUUAACAUUUAGGAAGACACUGGAGUGAAAUAGCGUUAUUGUCUAUAUCGGGGUCGGCAACCUUUCACAAGCGGUGUGCCGAAUCUUCAUUUAUUCACUCUAAAAUGUAUUACUGGCACGCGAAACGUUAAUGUUUUUCAGAAGAUCUCUUUAUUUUACAA